rnacentral:rRNA from 1 species
AUACGUAGGGGGCGAGCGUUGUCCGGAAUGAUUGGGCGUAAAGGGCGCGUAGGCGGCCCGGUAAGUCUGGAGUGAAAGUCCUGUUUUUAAGAUGGGAAUUGCUUUGGAUACUGUCGGGCUUGAGUGCAGGAGAGGUAAGUGGAAUUCCCAGUGUAGCGGUGAAAUGCGUAGAGAUUGGGAGGAACACCAGUGGCGAAGGCGACUUACUGGACUGUAACUGACGCUGAGGCGCGAAAGUGUGGGGAGCAAACAGGAUUAGAUACCCUGGUAGUCCACACUGUAAACGAUGAAUGCUAGGUGUAGUGGGUAUCGACCCCUUCUGUGCCGCAGUCAACACAAUAAGCAUUCCGCCUGGGGAGUACGGCCGCAAGGUUGAUACUCAAAUGAAUUGACGGGG